CAGUAGCCACGGGAAUACGGAGGGUGCAAGCGUUAAUCGGAAUUACUGGGCGUAAAGCGCACGCAGGCGGUCUGACAAGUCAGAUGUGAAAUCCCCGGGCUUAACCUGGGAACUGCAUUUGAAACUGUCAGGCUGGAGUCUUGUAGAGGGGGGUGGAAUUCCAGGUGUAGCGGUGAAAUGCGUAGAGAUCUGGAGGAAUACCGGUGGCGAAGGCGGCCCCCUGGACAAAGACUGACGCUCAGGUGCGAAAGCGUGGGGAGCAAACAGGAUUAGAUACCCCCGUAGUCCCUGUAUCUUAUAC
rnacentral:rRNA from 1 species